rnacentral:lncRNA from 1 species
CCUACUUAUUGGCCAUUUAGUAGACAGCUGGCCUAGCCAUAAAUAAUAGCUUAAGCCUAACUUUAACAUUUGGGUUUUUUGCUUGUUUUACAUGAGUGCGCAAAAAACACAGCUACUGCAUUUCUUCCAGUUUGGUGAACUGGGUAGUUAGGUACUUACCGGUUCUUUUUUCUGGGUGGCAUGCAUCAUAUUACCGCAAGGUGUGACCGGAGUGGAUGCUGGGUCACAUGAGACUAGUCGGAGGCAAAGUGGCCUAACCGGGCACCGCCAUAUCACUGGAUGCCGCAACACCGUAGGAAGAAUAAUCAUUGAACACUGGGAAGGGCAGAAUCUGAUUAGUCAGAUGUGGGCACGUCUCUUUAAACAGUGGUCAAACUUUGGUUGGCUUACAUGUUGUCCCUUGUUAAAAUGACCGACGCUAACCGCCUAUUCAUGUGACCUCGAAGUGUAGCACAUGAUCCUGCCCAGCUGAGAGGUCGAGGUAGCGAAAGUUGUCAACGCAUCGGUGAGCUUCAUCCUGCCAGGGCCAGGCCAUACACAAGUUUUGAACUGAUCAUUCAACGCAUAUUUAUUUUCAUCAAGUUAAGAUUGAUACAAUGUACUACAAAUGUAAUAAUUUACCGCUGAAACAGUCCUGUAGGUUUUGGGGUGGUAUGUAUCUUGGUUCAAUUAUUUAAAGGGAAUUUUAAAUAUAAAUGUUGUUGCUGCAGAUUGCCGGACUCUCUUGAAAACUUCAAGAUUCAAUUAUCACAUGUCCGAGGUGAGUGUUUACUCUUUUAUAAACUCAAUUGUGUAUAGGUAAAACAAACAAAACAACCCUAUCUAACCACUGUAAAGGUAUCAAGUCCAUUCAUCAUCCUGUUUUCAGACUGUACACACAG